GGAAAUAUAGUUUAGUGAUAGAGCAUUUGCCUAGCAUGUACAAGGCCCUGGGAUACAUUCCCAGUACCUCUG
rnacentral:tRNA from 1 species